GUGUUCUGAAAGGCUCAGCGUGUCCCAUGGUCUGAAUUCAUUCUGCGGUCCUCAAGAUCCACUGGUGGCGCGUGUGAUGGGGCCUGGGUCUGCCUGGUCGGCAGGCCUGUCUCUUGAGCUUGGAUGGAACGGACAAGGCCUAUGAUGGGAUGAAAUGACAUCAUGCAACUUCUAAGCCUGGACCUUUAGAGGCCUCAAAGCUUCUACUUUUGCCCUUUGGAAUGUAAUUCUACCACAUGAGGAAGCUGGGUCCAGCCUGCUGGAGGAUGAGGCCCAGGGGAGAGAGAGAGAAGCUCGGCUGACAGGUGACACCAACAACCAGAUGUGUGCAGGAAGCCCUCUUGGACUGUCCGGCCAUAGUGUGUCUCUACUCUGAGCCGGAAAGGAAACAAGAAUACAGUAGCUCUCUGUUUUAGAAGUGCUCUGUGCAAAUGUGGUUGAAAAAGCAGCUCCCCAUUACUAAACAGGCACAUGUCAUCUCCUCCUUCCUCACUGUGGAAUCUGAGCCUCUGAGAAGUGAGGUAACUUGCCUAAGUCUGCCAGAGGACUGAGACAUUGAGGAGACACACAGAAGAGAAAGAUGAAUGGAUGUUUUAUAUAAGACCUGUGGAAGAGGAAGCUGUUUGCUGCCCAAGGCUGAUUUUCUCAAGAAGAAAUGAACCUAUUACUUUGAUAAAACUGCCUGGGAAGGUCACAGUGUGAUGGUAGUA